CGCUAUGCUACGCAUGCGCGUAUGAGUCAAAAAUGGUAUAUAAUUAUGCGACUGAGUUUUUUUGGUGAUCGCGGGGGCCCUGUGGUUCUGCCUUGCCUGCCUGCCCCGCGCAAGCUAUGUAACCACGCUUCGCUGACACGGUCGCCUCAACCCGAGAAAAACACAAACUUCCAAACAUCUAAGAAGCGGGAAAACAAUUAAAAAACUCUAUUACAGUCAUCGAUUCUUAAAUCAAGGAAUCUACAAUUUUCUCUGAGUCCUCUGUCGAAUUUCGCCUUCAACAAAGUGAUUAUCACACGGCGGAAGAUCGAUUACAAUACCAAUUCACAACAAGUAGAGAUAAAAGAAAGUCUACGAAAGAAAUAGUCUUUACAAAAGCCUAAAAUAUAAGAAAGGAUCCAUGUCUAAAGACGAAGAAAUCGAAGACAAUAAAGCAACAAAAGUAUGAUUUAAUGUUAGUUUCUCGCCGAAUUGGAACGAAUGAAACGGUGGUGGAAAUAUAGCAAUAAAUAAUAUCAAAAUGGAUAAAGAUAUAUAAAAAAGUGAUGACUUUGGAUUCUAAUAUUCAAACUAAAAUGUACUGAACUAAACUGAAGCAAGACAGCAUUUACAGAAAACAUUUGAAGUGUUUUUUUUUUUUUUAACUAUAUAUUUAUGUUAAUUAUUUGUUAUGCUUAUUAUAGUAAUCUUCUAUGUUUGGACAAAAUAAACAGGUACCUUUUUUU